UACGUAGGGUGCGAGCGUUGUCCGGAAUUAUUGGGCGUAAAGAGCUUGUAGGUGGCUCGUUGCGUCGGGAGUGAAAACCUGCGGCUUAACCGCAGGCCUGCUUCCGAUACGGGCGAGGCUAGAGUUCGGCAGGGGAGACUGGAAUUCCUGGUGUAGCGGUGGAAUGCGCAGAUAUCAGGAGGAACACCGGUGGCGAAGGCGGGUCUCUGGGCCGAUGACUGACACUGAGGAGCGAAAGCGUGGGGAGCGAACAGG
rnacentral:rRNA from 1 species